UUCCCUUCAGUCCUUCGGGGUCUCAGUGUUUAAAGCCUUCAGUCAUGCUGGUCUAGAGCUAAGAUGGCAUAUUGGAUGGGAAUGCCCAUGUCUUCAGCAAAAGCCAGCUACCUUCUCAUGAGCUAGUUGCUUUCUUUACUUCUGAGUGGAAAAGAGAAACCUUUAAAAGAAAAAAAAAGAAAAAAAAAAAGCUGGGCAGUGGUGGCGCACGCCUUUAAUCUCAGCACUUGGGAGGCAGAGGCAGGCAGAUUUCGGAGUUCGAGGCUAGCCUGGUCUACAAAGUGAGUUCCAGGACAGCCAGGGCUACACAGAGAAACCCUGUCUCGAAAACAAACAGUCAAUCAAUCAAUCAAUAAAAAGAACUGGCUUGUUUUUGCUUUGAGAGAGGCAUUUGAACUCAGUGUAAUUAAGGGAGUCCCUGGUGUUGUUGUUUUUGAGACAGGGUCUUUCCGUGUAGCCCUGGCUGUCCUGCAACUUGCUCUGUAGAUCUAGCUGGCCUGGAACUCAGAGCUUCACUUCCCUAAACUUCCCUAGUGCUAGGAUUGCUCUAAAGAUGUGUCGCUGUGGGCUGGUGAGAUGGCUCAGUGAGUAAGAACACCGUCUGUUCUUCCAGAGGUCCUGAGUUCAAAUCCCAGCAACCACAUGGUGGAUCUGUAAUGAGAUCUAAUGCCCUCUUCUGGCACAUCUAAAGACGACUUAU
rnacentral:lncRNA from 1 species